UGAAUCUUGGGGAAGGAAUUCCACAAGGCCCUUAUAAUUUCUAAGGGCCGCACGGGCAAUGGGUAUGCAAGAACCCCACAGGCAAUCGUUACCCCNCUCCNUAAAGGNUUUAAGAUUUUAUUUCCUAAGUUUUUUCUAGGUCACACCCAUUACUUUUCCUGGGCCAUUAGUUCAGGGGGUUAAAGCGCACCCCUGAUAAGGGUGGGGNCCCUGGUUCAAGUCCAGGAUGGCCCAUCUCUCUAUGUUGGGGGUAUAGCUCAGUUGGUAAAGCGCUUGCUUUGCAAGCAGGAUGUCAGCGGUUCGAGUCCGCUUACCUCCCCUGAUUACCACCUCUUCCUNAAUAUUUAUUAAGGAAAUGUUUUGAGUAGUGAUCAAAUUCUGAACGAAUCUAGCUUCCUAAUGAAAUCAUUAAGAUGCUGGACUCAUUGAAUUAAUUUCAUUGUUUUCAGAGAACCUUGACAACUGCAUAGAUUANUUUUAAAGACAAUAAGCAUCUUUAUGAUGCAGAUUUAUUAUUUGNNNAAUGCGUUAAUANCAAUUUUAUUAAGCUGAUGCUUCAAUUAUGAUGUUAUU
rnacentral:tRNA from 1 species